GACGAACGCUGGCGGCGUGCUUAACACAUGCAAGUCGAACGGAAAGGCCCUGCUUUUGUGGGGUGCUCGAGUGGCGAACGGGUGAGUAACACGUGAGUAACCUGCCCUUGACUUUGGGAUAACUUCAGGAAACUGGGGCUAAUACCGGAUAGGAGCUCCUGCUGCAUGGUGGGGGUUGGAAAGUUUCGGCGGUUGGGGAUGGACUCGCGGCUUAUCAGCUUGUUGGUGGGGUAGUGGCUUACCAAGGCUUUGACGGGUAGCCGGCCUGAGAGGGUGACCGGACACAUUGGGACUGAGAUACGGCCCAGACUCCUACGGGAGGCAGCAGUGGGGAAUAUUGCACAAGGGGCGGAAGCCGGAGGCAGCAACGCCGCGUGCGGGAUGACGGCCUUCGGGUUGGAAACCGCUUUCGCCUGUGACGAAGCGUGAGUGACGGUAAUGGGUAAAGAAGCACCGGCUAACUACGU
rnacentral:rRNA from 1 species